GUAUUGUGAAAAAAAUGAGUAAAUGGUAAGUUUUAUGUUCAUUUUUAUCACAAUAAAGAAAGUUCUACAAAAAUUGCUUUCACUGUGCUGAGGAGACCAAUAAUAAAGUUCAGGACUUACCAUGAGGAGAUGCGCUGGGAAACACACCAGACUUGUUGAAAGAUAUAGAGGGCUAUGACUCAGCAACGGGGUAAACAGACUACAUAUAUACCUUACCAACACUGCAACCCAGCCUCUGCCCAUAACUGGAUUAAAACAAUCAGCCCCCUCUGCUUAGCAGAGGAAAGUGAGUCCUCUCUGGAGGAAUGUAAACCUGUCUGAGACCUCACGAUGUCCAGCGUUUGAUUAAAAAAGUGUUAGACGCACCAGAAGAUAAUCAUGUAACCAGCAAUUGGGGGGCAGAUCAGAUAGCAGGUUGUACAUGUGAUCUAGACAUUGGAGUUAGCAGAGAAGAACUUUAACUGAUUAAUAUACUCAAGAAAAUAAAAAUAUGAGGAUAGACUUUAAAAUGGAGAAUUGCACUAGAGAAUUGAAAUCUUUUUAAAAUUAAAAGGAAAUGCUAUCCUGCAACCUGGACAUGUGGAAAAAUGAGAAUUCAUACCCCAUUUAAAUCAAAUGUAUGAUAUGUCAAGAUCAUUGUAUUGUCAUGAGCAACUAAUAAAAAAAUAAAUCAAUAAAAAGGAAAUGCUAAAAGUGAAACAGAAUCCAAACUUAGGUUCUCAAUUGAUAACUUUAACAGUUGAUUACAUACAAUAGAAGAUAGGUAAGCUGGGAUGCAGGUCAAAAGAAAACAUGCAAACUGAAGAGAUUGAAAAAGAGAAAUGAGC
rnacentral:lncRNA from 1 species